UACAUGGGGUGCAAACGUUGCUCGGAAUUACUGGGCGUAAAGCGCACGUAGGCGGAUCUUUAAGUCAGGGGUGAAAUCCUGGAGCUCAACUCCAGAACUGCCUUUGAUACUGAGGACCUUGAGUUCGGGAGAGGUGAGUGGAACUGCGAGUGUAGAGGUGAAAUUCGUAGAUAUUCGCAAGAACACCAGUGGCGAAGGCGGCUCACUGGCCCGAUACUGACGCUGAGGUGCGAAAGCGUGGGGAGCAAACAGGG
rnacentral:rRNA from 1 species